AUGCAAGGUGAAUUCUUUGAUGGGAGAGAACCGAAUCGUGAAGCUACCGCGGAUGAGUUGAAGAUGCUACAAUACAAUGCUCAAGCUUGUGAUAUCCCCUUCAACGGAUUGUACCCCGAAGAAUUCAACAAAAUCAGCCGUCUUGAGAAUGCAAAGGAAAUUUGGGAUACUUUGAUUGAUAUGCAUGAAGGUACUGACUCCGUCAAGGAAUCCAAAUUGGAUGUGCUUCAAAGUCAACUUGACAAGUUCAAAAUGAAGGAUGGUGAAGGUGUCGCUGAAAUAUACUCUAGGCUUGCUCUUAUCACAAAUGAGAUUGCUGGCUUAGGGAGUGAAGAGAUGAUAGAUAUAUUCAUCAUCAAGAAGAUCCUAAGAGCCUUGGAUGGAAAAUAUGAUACCGUGUGCACAUUGAUCCAAAUGAUGCCCAAUUACAAAGAUCUCAAGCCAACGGAAGUCAUCGGAAGAAUUGUUGCUCAUGAGAUGUCACUC
rnacentral:rRNA from 1 species